rnacentral:lncRNA from 1 species
AUGCUUGGUUUUUGUGUCAUCUUAUCACGCAACAAAGAGAGAGAGACACACAGUAGAGAGAGAUGCAGAAGAGAAAAAAAACUAAAUCAGAGUCGCCGCUUCUCCGACAAUUGGCCGAGCUCCGGAGAGUGGUUGGCCUCAAUUAACUGAACCAAGAGUAAGGAAUCUCAUCGUGGUGGUUAUGUUUGCAGACGUGGCGGCUAGGGGUCCGGUGACCCUAGAUGGUGCGGUGGCUUACACACGAUGGCAAGUGGAUAUAGGCGUGGCUGUUGAUUAACUUCUCCAAUUUUCAGGCUUUCAACCCUCCAACAAGUUGAUGAUUGUGAUUUGUACCCUAAAUUUUUGGGGUGAUGCGGUGGUUUGAAGCUGAGGUGACCUUGUGGGACUUUUUAGCAAUACCAAGGGCAGCAUCUCGCAACUCAUUGCCACAUUAUCGACAUAGUAACGUGAAUUUGGCAGCUGGAGCGUAACUGGACAUACAAAAACAGCAACGGGUUGCACGUGUGAAAGGAGUGUAACAUAAACAAAGAGAGAGGCAGAUCUAUUUCAAAAGAAAAGAAAGAAGAAUACAGACAUGAGAGACAGAUAGAGAGAGAGAGAGUGACGAAGGUGAGAGAAAGCGGGCAAGCCACAGGAAACUGGCCGGGUUCGUGGCAAGUCUCAACAUACUAAACCGAGACUAAGGAAUCCGAUGGUGGUGACGGGCCGUUCAACGGAACAGCAGUGGUGAUGUUCUCAGCGUAGAUGGUGUACUAAGGGUGGUCAGAAUACCACUGUCACCUUUUAUAAUCUCCCCACCUAAAAUGAAACCCACAGAUAUCAACCGAAAACAGCAAAACCCAUCUAUCUUGAAUACUAUUUUUUCGUGAAUCGAAGGGCUUCAGUUUAGUCCAAGCAAUUUUCAACCUUAAGAUUGGCCAUUUCCGUCACUAGCGGCUCUGAAUUUACCAUGCAAACGAUCUGCAGCGAGGAAGGCUUUGAAUGCCGAACCUAAGACGAAUGAUUCCUUCUGCUGCCAUUUUGUUUGUUUCUGGUUUUGUUGUUACUUUGUGUUGGAAUCGCAACCGGGGAUAUACGGCUCAUGAUAUUUGCAGGCUAUUUUGGUAGAGAGUUUGCUUCGAUCAACAGUUCUCAGUUUUCUGUUGAUGAGAACACUAAGGAAGCUAUUUUUAAGAGUAUAGUUGAUGAAAGAACUGGCAGUUUUAAAAUUGUCAUGUUUAUGAUUUCUCUGUUUCAUAUAUUUAUGAGGAUGUUUAUAGAACAACCACAAAUUGGCUUAACCACAAACCUAUGGAUACCCUUGGGUCAUUUACAUUAGAUAACAUAAUCACUGACCUGGCUUUCCCUCCAAGGAGCCAUGCCAUAAAGGGUUCAAAGAAAAGAAAGUGGUUCAGCAGCCAGCCUACUUCAAAAUCUCAGAUGAUGUGGCCGACCACAUUUUACAAGCUUAAUCUAGACAGAGUUACUAAUGGAUAUCAUACUUUGGAGAGCAAGUUGAAACAAAAGACAAGUUAAGUUGAGAUCAUACUUUGGAAAGCAAGUUGUGUCCCGUGUGAACACCUGCAGUUACUAAUGGGUUUCUUUGGGGUGUAUGACGGACACGGUGGUAGUAAGGUUGCGGAGUAUGUAACGAAGAAUAUGCACUCGAAUGUGUUUGAUCUAUGCAUAACAACAGGGGGAACUUGAUAAGCGAGAUAAACGGUAUUGCCUUAUGCGCCUCCACAAGAUCAUGAUACAAGUCAUACUCCACUUCAUAAUCAUCAAAUGAAGCUUGGCUUUCUGAUGCGUAUGAUAGUGAUGCUUAGCCAAAUUCGAUUUCCCAAUUGUGUUCUUUUGUCAUAUUUCAUAUAGAUGGCAUAUUCGACAUGUCAUAAAUUAUAGAGUUCAUUUAUACACACAAACGUCGUACCGCUGAAUAACACUUUAUGGACGUUUUGAACCUAGCGUUUAUGCUUUAUUUGAGUAUGUGGUGUCUUAAUUUCUAAGCCCCCGGCCGCAUCGCGACGGGAUACCUUU